UACGUAGGGUGCAAGCGUUAAUCGGAAUUACUGGGCGUAAAGCGUGCGCAGGCGGUUGUGCAAGACAGAUGUGAAAUCCCCGGGCUUAACCUGGGAAUGGCAUUUGGGACUGCAAGGCUGGAGUUUGGCAGAGGAGACUGGAAUUCCCGGUGUAGCAGUGAAAUGCGUAGAUAUCGGGAGGAAUACCGAUGGCGAAGGCAGGUCUCUGGGCUAUAACUGACGCUCAUGCACGAAAGCGUGGGGAGCAAACAGG
rnacentral:rRNA from 1 species